rnacentral:tRNA from 1 species
CUGGGUGUGCCGGCAACCUGGCUGUCCGGCCUGCUUUGGAAGCAGGAACAUGUAGGUUCGAAUCCUAUCGCCCAGACCA